rnacentral:rRNA from 1 species
UACGGAGGAUGCAAGCGUUAUCCGGAAUGAUUGGGCGUAAAGCGUCCGCAGGUGGCUGUGUAAGUCUGCUGUUAAAUAGUGAGGCUCAACCUCAUAAAGGCAGUGGAAACUACACGGCUAGAGUGCGUUCGGGGCAGAGGGAAUUCCUGGUGUAGCGGUGAAAUGCGUAGAGAUCAGGAAGAACACCGGUGGCGAAGGCGCUCUGCUAGGCCGUAACUGACACUGAGGGACGAAAGCUAGGGGAGCGAAUGGG